AUUGAACGCUGGCGGCAUGCCUUACACAUGCAAGUCGAACGGUAACAGGUCUUCGGAUGCUGACGAGUGGCGAACGGGUGAGUAAUACAUCGGAACGUGCCCGAUCGUGGGGGAUAACGGAGCGAAAGCUUUGCUAAUACCGCAUACGAUCUACGGAUGAAAGCAGGGGACCGCAAGGCCUUGCGCGGACGGAGCGGCCGAUGGCAGAUUAGGUAGUUGGUGGAUAAAAGCUUACCAAGCCGACGAUCUGUAGCUGGUCUGAGAGGACGACCAGCCACACUGGGACUGAGACACGGCCCAGACUCCUACGGGAGGCAGCAGUGGGGAAUUUUGGACAAUGGGCGCAAGCCUGAUCCAGCCAUGCCGCGUGCAGGAUGAAGGCCUUCGGGUUGUAAACUGCUUUUGUACGGAACGAAAAGACUCUGGUUAAUACCUGGGGUCCAUGACGGUACCGUAAGAAUAAGCACCGGCUAACUACGUGCCAGCAGCCGCAGUAAAAC
rnacentral:rRNA from 1 species